AUCGGGUGCCAUAAAUAAACAG
rnacentral:siRNA from 1 species